rnacentral:rRNA from 1 species
AGGACGAACGCUGGCGGCGUGCCUAACACAUGCAAGUCGAACGUCCUGUCUCGCAAGAGGCAGGGAGUGGCGGACGGGUGAGUACCACGUGGGUCAUCUACCGUGAGGUGAGGAAUACCGGCGAGAAAUCGCCGACAAGACCGCAUAGGCUCGAUGCAAGUCGAGCAAAGCUCUUUCGAGAGAGGGAGCGCCACACGAGGAGCCUGCGCCCGAUUAGCUAGCUGGUGGAGUAACGGUUCACCAGGGCGACGAUCGGUAGCUGGUCUGAGAGGACGAUCAGCCACACUGGGAUUGAGAACGGCCCAGACUCCUACGGGGGGCAGCAGUGAGGAAUUUUCGUCAAUGGGGGCAACCCUGAACGAGCAACGCCGCGUGCAGGAAGAAGGUUUCGGAUCGUAAACUGCUUUUCUCGGGGAAGAGAAUGGACGGUACCCGAGGAAUCAGCCCCGGCUAACUACGUGCCAGCAGCCGCGGU